rnacentral:rRNA from 1 species
GACGAAGGAUGCAAGCGUUAUCCGGAUUCAUUGGGUUUAAAGGGAGCGUAGGUGGCCUUCUAAGUCAGCGGUGAAAUCUCUGGGCUUAACCCAGAAAUUGCCAUUGAUACUGUAGGGCUUGAGUACAGUUGCUGUGGGCGGAAUAUGACAUGUAGUGGUGAAAUACAUAGAGAUGUCAUAGAACACCGAUUGCGAAGGCAGCUCACAAAACUGUAACUGACACUGAGGCUCGAAAGUGCGGGGAUCAAACAGG